rnacentral:rRNA from 1 species
AUACGGAGGAUGCAAGCGUUAUCCGGAUUUAUUGGGUUUAAAGGGUGCGUAGGCGGAUGAUUAAGCGUGAGGUGAAAUGCCACUGCUCAACAGUGGAACCGCCUCGCGAACUGGUUGUCUUGAAUGCUCCUGCCGUGGGAGGAAUGUGUGGUGUAGCGGUGAAAUGCAUAGAGAUCACACAGAACACCGAUUGCGAAGGCAUCUCACGAAGGGGUGAUUGACGCUGAGGCACGAAAGCGUGGGGAUCAAACAGGAUUAGAUACCCUGGUAGUCCACGCAGUAAACGAUGAUAACUAACCGCUGGGUCGUAGUGAUUCAGUGGCCAAGCGAAAGCGAUAAGUUAUCCACCUGGGGAGUACGACCGCAAGGUUGAAACUCAAAGGAAUUGACGGGG